rnacentral:misc_RNA from 1 species
GAUGAAGAACGCAGUGAAAUGCGAUAAGUAGUGUGAAUUGCAGAAUUCCGUGAAUCAUCGAAUCUUUGAACGCACAUUGCGCCCCUUGGUAUUCCGAGGGGCAUGCCUGUUCGAGCGUCAUAUUAACCACUCCCGCUUGCGGGGUCUUGGGCUUCGCCUCCGGGCGGGCCUUAAAAUCAGUGGCGGUGCCGUCGGGCUCUACGCGUAGUAAAUUUUCUCGCGAUAGGGUCCCGGUGGAUGCUUGCCAACAACCCCCAACUUCUUAAGGUUGACCUCGGAUCAGGUAGGGAUACCCGCUGAACUUAAGCAUAUCAAUAAGCGGAGGA